AGAGUUUGAUCCUGGCUCAGAGCGAACAUUGGCGGUAGGCUUAACACAUGCAAGUCGAGCGAGGCGUAAUAGUCGAGCGGCGAACGGGUGCGUAAUACAUGGGAAUCUACCUUAAAGUGGGGGAUAACGUUCAGAAAUGGACGCUAAUACCGCAUAAACCACAUUGGGAAAGCGUUGCAGCGCUUUAAGAUGAGCCCAUGGCUGAUUAGCUAGUUGGUGAGGUAACGGCUCACCAAGGCGACGAUCAGUAGCUGGUCUGAGAGGAUGAUCAGCCACACUGGAACUGAGAUACGGUCCAGACUCCUACGGGAGGCAGCAGUGGGGAAUCUUGCGCAAUGGGGGCAACCCUGACGCAGCCAUACCGCGUGAGUGAUGAAGGUCUUCGGAUUGUAAAGCUCUUUCGGCGGGGACGACGAUGACGGUACCCGCAAAAGAAGUCACGGCUAACUUCGUGCCAGCAGCCGCGGUAAUACGAAGGUGGCGAAUGUUGCUCGGAUUCACUGGGCGUAAAGCGUCUGUAGGUGGCUUGUUAAGUUAGAGGUGAAAGCCCCGCGCUCAACGUGGGAACUGCCUUUAAAACUGGCGAGCUAGAGAGUAUCAGAGGAUGGCGGAAUAACUGGUGUAGAGGUAAAAUUCAUAGAUAUCAGUUGGAACACCCAUGGCGAAGGCAGCUAUCUGGGAUAUUUCUGACACUGAGAGACGACAGCGUGGGGAGCAAACAGGAUUAGAUACCCCGGUAGU
rnacentral:rRNA from 1 species